rnacentral:tRNA from 1 species
CCCUGGUUAGCUCAGUUGGUAGAGCGCUCCACUUGUAAUGGAGAGGUCCCGGGUUCGAUACCCGGACUAGGCG